AGAACGAACGCUGGCGGCAUGCCUAAUACAUGCAAGUCGAACGAACUCUUCGGAGUUAGUGGCGCACGGGUGCGUAACGCGUGGGAAUCUGCCCCUUGGUUCGGAAUAACAGUUGGAAACGACUGCUAAUACCGGAUGAUGACGAAAGUCCAAAGAUUUAUCGCCAAGGGAUGAGCCCGCGUAGGAUUAGCUAGUUGGUGAGGUAAAGGCUCACCAAGGCAACGAUCCUUAGCUGGUCUGAGAGGACGAUCAGCCACACUGGGACUGAGACACGGCCCAGACUCCUACGGGAGGCAGCAGCAGGGAAUAUUGGACAAU
rnacentral:rRNA from 1 species